UCAACCGGAACAUUUUUUUUGGUUUGUACCUGAACUGACAAUUAGAUCCUUUAAUCUUUAGGAAGCGUAAAUACAUUUUCUUUACGUCUUUGUUAUAGAGCUUCGACACAAACCAAAAUCAGCAGACAAACAUGAUGGAGAAGAAGAUAAAGUUCACUUCUACAUCGUCGAUCCAUCAUAAUUUCUUCCCUCUUUUUCUCUUAUGAUCAAAUUAACGAUGUAUUUACUCGAUUUUGGAUUCAAAUUCCCUUCUGGAUCGUUCCAUCAAAGUUUAUUUUCUCUCUGAUUAUCAACUCAACAUAGAACUAAUUUGAUGCAUUCAUUGCAAGGUAAUGUUCCAGGUUUUCAUCCAUGUCGAAGUCCAAGAAUUAUCGACCAACAACAAAGAGAUACUCUUUCGGGUUUUCAUCUGCAUCGCAGUCCAAGACUAAUCGAGCAAAAACAAAGAGAUGCUCACUUAGAGAGGCGUCGUGUUCACUAUACAGUAUUACGAGAUUCAAUGACAGAAGUUGAAAAGGAAGCAGUUCUUAAAGAACGGCGUAAUGCUUAUCGCAUCUGGAAAACAAGAAAUGAAUGCGGAAACACAACAGAAAUAAGUGAGCAACUCUCUAUCACCGCUCCGGUUCGACCACAAGACCAUGGAGCAGGAACCAGUAUAACGAAUCCGUUAUUCCGCGGAUGUCAGUGAUUACUCCAUUCUCCUGUGCCAGAUGAGGAUGCCGCAGAAUUAUUGAGCAAGUUCAGUACCAAGAUGAGGACGCCGCAGAGGCAUCCCGUAAAGAAAAAGGGAAAGUCGAUUGCUCCAUACCAGAAACGGCGCCGACCCAACAACUAUGUUCCUGGAACAAAAGAGGCAUGAGCCAUAGUUAUUAGUUCCGCUGUAGGGAGAACGAAUCAUGACUCAACAGAUGAUAGCAGCUCCGAUGAUGGGGAAACUGCUGCAGAAACUGCCCCGCAUCAAGUAAGUGUACCACAUUUCGGAGAAAGCAGUCACGCUGCCCAAUUACCCUUGCGCAGAAGUCCAAGGAUCAGUCAACAUCCUCAACAUAGAGAAACACCACAUACACAAGAUGCAAUCGAUGCUAGUCUUGCAUUGAACAUACGUAGAAGCCCUCGACUUAUGGCGCAGGCUCAAUCUCAAGAAUCUCAACAUACACAAAAUGCAGCAUUUAAAGAGGAGGCAAUUCCAGUUCCCGAUCAACCUGCUAUUACUAAAGAGAAUGUUAGCAUAUCCAAUCAAUGGUGUUCUUUACAUUAAGAUCGGUCACCCGUUACUGGCAUCAUAUGGUGUCGUGGAUCCAAUUUUUGCGGCUAUUAAUAUGCAGCAAGGAGUUUUUGUGUUUUGAUUGAGAGAGGAACUAAUGAUCCAGUAACCAGUAUUUUAUUAAGAAGAUGACGAAAUCCAAAAAGCUACUUGCCGAUGGCUAACAGAGAGUAUGGUUAAUUAUGUUGAUUACUCUAUCCAUCCACAAAGAGGAGACAAGCUAUCAGCCACGUAAGGUUCCAACGUACAUUGAUACCCUCACUGGACUUAGGAAGGGAAGAAAAAAUGAAAAGUAUCUCCUAAUGGAGAUUUUGGACUUGGUACUUAAUAUCUCUACGGCUCUACCUUUGAAGAACAUGGUGGUACUAAUGGGCAUCGGAUGAAGCUAGCAA